AUUGAACGCUGGCGGCAUGCUUUACACAUGCAAGUCGAACGGUAACAGGCCUUCGGGUGCUGACGAGUGGCGAACGGGUGAGUAAUGCAUCGGAACGUGCCCAGAGGUGGGGGAUAACGCAGCGAAAGCUGUGCUAAUACCUCAUGUGAUCUGAGGAUGAAAGCGGGGGACCAGGCAGCAAUGUUUGGCCUCGCGCCUUUGGAGCGGCCGAUGUCAGAUUAGGUAGUUGGUGGGGUAAAGGCCUACCAAGCCGACGAUCUGUAGCUGGUCUGAGAGGACGACCAGCCACACUGGGACUGAGACACGGCCCAGACUCCUACGGGAGGCAGCAGUGGGGAAUUUUGGACAAUGGGCGCAAGCCUGAUCCAGCAAUGCCGCGUGCGGGAAGAAGGCCUUCGGGUUGUAAACCGCUUUUGUACGGAACGAAAAGGCUCUGGCUAAUACCUGGGGCUGAUGACGGUACCGUAAGAAUAAGCACCGGCUAACUACGUG
rnacentral:rRNA from 1 species